GUGGACCUUCGAAGACUUUUCACUUCUCAAUUUGCCUGAUCAAUUCAAGAGUUCUUUUGACUUUUUUGAUGGCUAUGAGAAGCCAGUGAAAGGAAGGAAAAUCAAUUGGAUGAAGGAAAGUUGGGGUGCCUACCACGAACCUUCUUGGAAUGAAUCUUAAAAUUUUGUAUGUGAUAGUGGUUGCAUCAAAGAUGGUUGUUGUUGCUGUUCUGAAACUUGCAACCAUUGGCAACGACAGAUGCAAACUUUGAACUACAUUUGUAGAUUCUUUACCCAAAAAAAGAAAAAAAGAUUUGUAAACAAAUAAAAUAAAUGGAAUGUUAAAUUACUAA